GACGAACGCUGGCGGCGCGCUUAACACAUGCAAGUCGAACGGUAAGGCCCUUCGGGGUACACGAGUGGCGAACGGGUGAGUAACACGUGGGUGAUCUGCCCUGCACUUCGGGAUAAGCCUGGGAAACUGGGUCUAAUACCGGAUAGGACCACUGCCUGCAUGGGUGGUGGUGGAAAGCUUUUGCGGUGUGGGACGGGCCCGCGGCCUAUCAGCUUGUUGGUGGGGUGAUGGCCUACCAAGGCGACGACGGGUAGCCGGCCUGAGAGGGUGACCAGCCACAAUGGGACUGAGAUACGGCCCAGACUCCUGCGGGAGGCAGCAGUGGGGAAUAUUGCACAAUGGGCGCAAGCCUGAUGCAGCGACGCCGCGUGAGGGAUGACGGCCUUCGGGUUGUAAACCUCUUUCAGCACCGACGAAGCGCAAGUGACGGUAGGUGCAGAAGAAGGACCGGCCAACUACGUGCCAGCAGCCGCUGUAA
rnacentral:rRNA from 1 species